rnacentral:ncRNA from 1 species
UCCAUGGCGAAGAUGGAGAGCGGUGUUCUAUGCCAAACAGUUUCAGAGAGUCGGUGGUCGCUGCGAACCGAUACUGUACUUGAAUACAAAUCACUCCUGAGCCGUAUCUUUGAACAUGAUAGGGAAGGCUUCUAUCAGUAAAAGAUACCGUCUAGUCCCGUUAUCGACUUAGGUUUGUUAGAACUGAAAAAGGGGUAUUUAUAUUAUGAAUACAACCAAGGUGGUACCGCGGGUAAUCCUCGUCCUUGAA